GACGGUGAAAAAGUGAAUGAGGAUGUAAUGGAUGAAGAUGAUGAAGCCACCCAAGAAGAUUCUAUUGGAUAGCUGGCAUACUUGUGGAUUAAAUUUGGUGCUCUCUGAUUUUUUUUAGGCUUUAGAAGUGCAAAUGUGACCAUGGGUCAAGAAGCCACACCCCAAGCUUUCGUAAACAGUAAGAAGGGAGGCUCGUGCUGUGAUAUCAUAUCUUAAACUUAUUAUCAGAGCCUAAAGUUAGCAUUUUGGAAAUCUUGGAUCAUUGUACAGAAGAUAGCCUAGUAUUGC
rnacentral:misc_RNA from 1 species